CGUGUAGGCGGCCAGACAGGUCUGUUGUGAAAACUGGAGGCUUAACCUCCAGACGUCGACAGAAACCGUCUGGCUAGAGUCCGGAAGAGGAGAGUGGAAUUCCUGGUGUAGCGGUGAAAUGCGCAGAUAUCAGGAAGAACACCAAUGGCGAAGGCAGCUCUCUGGGACGGUACUGACGCUGAGCGCGAAGCGUGGGAGCGAACA
rnacentral:rRNA from 1 species